rnacentral:rRNA from 1 species
ACGUACACUCCUACGGGAGGCAGCAGUGGGGAAUAUUGGACAAUGGGCGCAAGCCUGAUCCAGCCAUGCCGCGUGAGUGAUGAAGGCCCUAGGGUUGUAAAGCUCUUUCACCGGUGAAGAUAAUGACGGUAACCGGAGAAGAAGCCCCGGCUAACUUCGUGCCAGCAGCCGCGGUAAUACGAAGGGGGCUAGCGUUGUUCGGAUUUACUGGGCGUAAAGCGCACGUAGGCGGACUAUUAAGUCAGGGGUGAAAUCCCGGGGCUCAACCCCGGAACUGCCUUUGAUACUGGUAGUCUUGAGUUCGAGAGAGGUGAGUGGAAUUCCGAGUGUAGAGGUGAAAUUCGUAGAUAUUCGGAGGAACACCAGUGGCGAAGGCGGCUCACUGGCUCGAUACUGACGCUGAGGUGCGAAAGCGUGGGGAGCAAACAGGAUUAGAAACCCUGGUAGUCCCAUGAU